GGCGGCGAGUGGCGAACGGGUGAGUAAUGUAUCGGAACGUGCCCAGUAGCGGGGGAUAACUGGCCGAAAGGUCAGCUAAUACCGCAUACGCCCUACGGGGGAAAGGGGGGGAUCGCAAGACCUCUCACUAUUGGAGCGGCCGAUAUCGGAUUAGCUAGUUGGUGGGGUAAAAGCCUACCAAGGCGACGAUCCGUAGCUGGUUUGAGAGGACGACCAGCCACACUGGGACUGAGACACGGCCCAGACUCCUACGGGAGGCAGCAGUGGGGAAUUUUGGACAAUGGGGGAAACCCUGAUCCAGCCAUCCCGCGUGUGCGAUGAAGGCCUUCGGGUUGUAAAGCACUUUUGGCAGGGAAGAAACAGCCUGGGCUAAUAUCCCGGGCGACUGACGGUACCUGCAGAAUAAGCACCGGCUAACUACGUGCCA
rnacentral:rRNA from 1 species